CUAGUGAAUGCAGUUUAGCAAAUUUAGCCACCUAAUUUGUGGAUUCUAUUUUAGGAAUUGUUAUUUAUUGUCUUAGAUGUGUAUUAUGUUUCCUUACACCCAGAUUUUUGUUUUAGGAUGAGGACAUUUUCCUUUAAGAUGAGGACCUUGGAGUUUAAGAGUUCCACCCAGAUAAGAAUUUAUAUAUCUAUCAUUAAAAGUGAAGGGCUGGAGAUUUCACAACCAGCACUUGAUCCUCAACUUUCUGAAAGGUCUUGCUGUGGAGAUUUAACAACUAGCUCUGGAGAUUUUUCAGUUACUUACUGUGCUUAGAACUGGGCUUCGACUUCCUUGGUAUCCAAAUUGAAAGGUCCUGCUGAGAGAAAAAAGCUAGAGGACUUGACAAUUGGUCCAGUUCUCACUGACAUACAAAAUUGGAGGUUGUGAUUUGAGCAGCACUGCUCCUCCUUGUACCAGGUGGAUUGAAAUGAUGGCUCAUGUUUUUUCAA